ACACAACGGGCCAUUGGAAGGAGGGAUGGUUGCUGAUAAUGGGCCUCUGUACGCCUAUUUAGAUAUUCCACAAUGUUCAAGGGAUGUACAUUCAGUCCAUAGUAGCCAAUAACAACAUAAUUUGAUGGACAAUGUUCAUAGGCAGGUGCAAUCAUGUCUAAUGAGGUUACAAGGUAAAACUGGAAGUCGGGCACAUUAUCCGCUUAAUGACAGUGGGGCUAGUUAGUGACAAUUGUGUGAACCUUUAUGCAGAGCUGCACAUGCACAGCCUAAUAUGACAUACAACACAAACUUCAGUGACCCGUUUUAGCUCAUGAGCACUACAACUGGCUACUACUGGCUGAAAUUAUGGAAAAACUACACAGAGCCUUUCAAAGUGAGUUCAUAGAGUAUUUAGACUGUGUUUCCUCUCAAUGUCCCAAGGCAAGACCUUUACUAUUGGAAAUAUUAACAGACACAAUCCAUCAGACAUCAGAUUGCAAUAGUGCUAUUAUUAGCUACUAGUAUCUCCAUUGUUUCAGCUUUUUCUGUUUGUUAUUUUUUCUGUCUUUAGUUCUGUCUGCCUUUUGUCCACUUCCUCAUGCAUCAUGCAUCACCCUCCCUCUCUCCUGCUACCUUCCGUUCUUCUCUUUGUCUUCUCUCUUUUAUGUCGCUCUUCGUAUCCAGACCCGGCGCAAGAACGAAGCAAGAACGAAUCAGUUGGACGGCCUUGGAUUUUUUUUAAGGGAUCUCCUAUGUGUGCAGAAAAUGAAAGAGUGAAGAUUAUAAUUAUAUAUCCACAACUGAUCAAGACCAAAGCUGUAUCCCAUUAAUAAUGCCAGACUAUCCAGAAGUUCCCCUGGGCAGUUCCAAAAAAGGCAGAAAAGCUGGUCUUGUUCUCCCUCUACCCCAGCCCAGGAUGAAUUUAAUGGGGACACGUCUAGACAGGGGCAACCCAGGGAUUCACCUGGCCAUUCUAGAUGCUGUCCUUUCCCAUCUCACUUCAAACACAAAUAAUCCAGGCCUUCUCCUAGCCAGUCCCACCUCCAGAGCAGAGAGCACAGACGUUCUACAUAUCCAUCCUGUUACUCUACCAGACAAGAUUCAUCCAGGGCUUCUACUUGCCAGUCCCAACGGAGCCAAGAGCAUCGCAGCUCUCACCCUCCCAUUCCCUCCACUAGACCAGAGUUGUUUCCCAUGAAUAAUGCCAAACUUCAGAAGUGUGUCCUAACUAAAUUGGAGAUAUUGGAGGAGGUGAAACGUGUUGGGAGAGCAGAGCCCCAAGACUCUUUGAGUUCCAUGUCAAGAGGAUGGAGAUGGAGCAAGACUUUGACCAACUAGAGAAGCAGCUCCAAGGUGUGGAUGCACAGAAUCUGAUGGUGAAAGUGAAAUUUAUUUUGUAGAUUUGUAAGCAUUUUUCACACAAGCGAUACAAAAAGUGAUGCCCGUAGAAUUUUUUUUUUAAAGUACUCAUACUGAGACAGUGGUUACUGCAUAACUUCUGGUGUUUCAAACAAAGUCUCUUGACACAGAUUGCAAGGUUAAGCAAAAUUGGUGUUAAGGACACAAAGGACUGUGCCAACAAGGUCAUGGUAUGUCAUAUCUUCAGAAUGGAUCCAAUAAGAAAGUCAUUUUAAAGGUAUUGUUAGUGAUACAAACUGUCUGCAACAAAGACAGUAAAUCCAGCCUUAUCUCCUCAGCAGUUUGAAAGUGUUCAAUUCACAAAGUACAUCCUAUGUGUGCUUGACUUUCAGGCUCUUUACCAAUGGCCUGAUGUCCUUGUUCAACUUCAAUGGCCAUCACGCAAGCGAGGAUUAGGAAACACAACUGUGUACUCUGUUGUCAACAGUACCUACAAACAUGUCAUUAUUCUGUAGUAUAUUUUGUAUUAAUAACUGGGUGGUUUGAGCCCUGAAAGCUGAUUGGCUAACGGCCAUGGUAUAUUUAAGCAAUAAUACAUGAGAGCCCAUGUGUUAUGAUGACAUUUUUAUCAUGGCUGAGUGUCAUAGCCAUAAAAGCAAAGUCCUCUGGGUUUUGUGGUACCGUAACCACACAAUACAUGGUUAACAGUCUGUAUCCAGGCACCCUGAGUUGCGUUGUGCAUAAGAAAAGCCUUUACUACACCUUCCCAUUGCUUAAAGGAUCACUAAGGUUGCGCAAUCAAAAUGACCUGCUCUGUCUGUUUUAAUAGGCUAGAUUAUUAUUUUGUCUUCUAAAACAAUUAUUCAUUUGCAUGGUGGUAAUUUGUGUAGUUGUCACGUUCUGACCUUAGUUCUUUUGUUAUUGUCUUUGUUUAGUAUGGUCAGGGCGUGAGUUGGGUGGGUUGUCUAUGUUCCUUUUUCUAUGAUUUGGGAUUUCUGUGUUUGGCCUGGUAUGGUUCUCAAUUAGAGGCAGCUGUCUAUCGUUGUCCCUGAUUGAGAACCAUACUUAGGUAGCCUGGUUUCACUUUUGAGUUAUUUUCUGUGUUAAUGUUUGUGACACACGGGACUGUUUCGUUUGUUUCACUUUGUUAUUUUGUAUUUUGUAGUGUUCAGUUUUACAUAUUAAAAUGGACACUUACCACGCUGCAAAUUGGUCCGAUCUCUCUUACUCCUCAUCAGAAGAAGAGGACGAGCGUUACAGUGGUCCCUUUUUGAGAAUAAUGGUUUUAGGAGCUUGGCAAUUUUGAAUGAGGUGAUCAUGUGACCUUAAUGGCCUUUUAACCUAUUGACGCGCAAGUUCUAAAAAUGUAUAACGGUCUGCCCAGCGUGGCAUUUCCUCAAUCAUUUUUUUUUAUUUUGCAAUGCUGUAGCCCUAAUAAAUGCUUUACCAUUUUUUUUUCUUUGAUGGAGCAGACUCUAGUAUGUCAUUAUGUUGGUUUUGUUUAGCUUUCUGGCCUGUUAUCAAUUAGGCCUUAUUAUUACUUAAUUUCAUCACACAGCCUACUAGUCCUGCAUUUAAAUGCAGUCAAGCAUUCUCUUGAAUAAUUAGCCUAGAGUUUUACAA